GGGUGUCCUGUGUCAUUUUUGGGGUGUCCCGUGUCAUUUUGGGGUGUCCCCGUGUCAUUUUGGGGUGUCCCGUGUCAUUUUAAGGUGUCCCCCUGUUUUGGGGUCCCCCCAUGCUGUUUUUGGGUUCCCCUCGUGUUUUGGGGUGCCCCGUUUUUGGGGUGCCCCACUCACUCACGCUGUUCCAGGUGCUGUCUCAUCUCCUCGCUCCUCUCCUGUGUCCGUGCCAGCUCCUGCGCCCCAGCCUGGCAGCCUGAGCACAGCACCGCCACCACAGCGCCACCGGGGACAGGGGGACAUGGGGACAUGGGGGGGACAGGGGGACACGGGGGGGACAUGGGGACAUCAUGGGGACAUGGAGAUGUGGGGACACUGUGAGGACAUGGGGACAUCAUGGGGACAUGGGGACACGAGGACAUGGGGAGAUGGGGGGGACAUGGGGACAUAGGGACAUGAUGGGGACACAGGGACAUGGGGACGUGAUGGGGACACGGGGACACCAUGGGGACAUGGAGGUGUGGGGGCACUGUGGGGACAUGGGGACGUGGUGGGGACAUGGGGACAUCAUGGGGACAUGGGGGUAUAUGGUGAGAUGGGGACAUGGGGGGGGCAUGGGGACAUGGGGGGGAUGGGGACAUGGUGUGGACAUGGGGACAUCAUGAGGACAUGGGGACAUGGGGGGAGAUGGGGACAUCAUGGGGACACGGAGGUGUGGGGAUGCUGUGGGGACAUGGGGUGAUGACAUGGGGGCAUCAUGGGGAGAUGGCGGGGACACGGGGACAUGGUGGGGACGUCACAGGGACACGGGGCCACGUCGCUCACCCCGGUGCAGAGCAUGGAUCUGUCCCAGCAGCGCCUCCACCUGUGGAGCCCCUGUGUGUGGGGGGGGAGGGGACACGUGGGGACGUGCAGGGACACGGGACAGCCUGGGGACGCGGAGGGGACGCGCAUGUACCCGGUGGCUGUGGGGUGGGCAACUCCGUGUCACCGCCACGGGAGGGUCCUGUGGGGAGGGGACACGUGGGGACAUGGAGACAUGGGGACACAGGGACGUGGCGCAGGGCCGUGCCCUCACUCUGCUCUCCGCUCUCCAUGGCGCUGUGCGGUGAUGGAGGCUCCUUCCGGUCAGCGGGGACCAACUUCCGGUUCAGACCCCACUUCCGUGCAGCUUCAAAAUGGCGGCGCUUCAAAAUGGCGCCAUUUCAAGAUGGUGGCGCCUCAAAAUGGUGGCCAAGAUGGCGGCCCCUCAGCAUGGCGGCACUUCAAAAUGGCAGCCCAGGAUGGAGGCACCUCAAAAUGGCGGCUCCACAAAACGACGGCAAUACAAAAUGGCGGCCCCACCAAAUGGCAACGAAAGACGGAGGCAGCAGAAAACGGCUGCACCGCAAAAUGGGGGCACAAAACGGUGGCACCAGAAAAGAGAGAACCAAGGUAGGGGCACCACAAAAUGGCGGCCCCGGAAACUGGCAGCCCAAGAUGGCGGCAUCGCAAAAUGGCAGCCCAACAUGGCGGCAUUAUAAAAUGGCGGCCAUGCAAAACGGCGGCCCCACAAAAUGGCGGCCGUGCAAAAUGGCGGCCGUGCAAAAUGGCGGCCCAAGAUGACGGCAUCGCAAAAUGGCGGCCCAAGAUAGGGACACCGCAAAACGGCAGCCCAAUAUGGUGGCAUCGCAAAAUGGCGGCCAUGCAAAAUGGC
ensembl:lncRNA